AUUGAACGCUGGCGGCAUGCCUAACACAUGCAAGUCGAACGGAGGUAGGGGCAACUCUACUUCAGUGGCGGACGGGUGAGGAAUGCGUCGGAAUCUACCCUAUGGUGGGGGAUAACACAGGGAAACUUGUGCUAAUACCGCAUAAUGUCGAGAGACCAAAGCAGGGGACCGCAAGGCCUUGCGCGAUAGGAUGAGCCGACGCCCGAUUAGCUAGUUGGUAGGGUAAAGGCCUACCAAGGCGACGAUCGGUAGCUGGUCUGAGAGGAUGAUCAGCCACACUGGGACUGAGACACGGCCCAGACUCCUACGGGAGGCAGCAGUGGGGAAUAUUGGACAAUGGGCGCAAGCCUGAUCCAGCAAUGCCGCGUGUGUGAAGAAGGCCUGGCGGGUUGUAAAGCUACUUUUGUUCGGGAAGAAAUCAUGCUGGUUAAUACCUGUAUGGAUGACGGUACCGAAAGAAUAAGCACCGGCUAACUUCGUCAGCACGG
rnacentral:rRNA from 1 species